CCAGAGAUGGCGGGCCCCCGCGCCCCCGUCCCCAACCCUUUGUUGACCAAACCACUUUUGCCUCGGGGGCAGAGCGGCCUCCGCCGCCCCCGGUGGACCAUUUAACACUGUCUCUGUACGUCGGAGUCUUUGAUGAAUAAAUGA
rnacentral:misc_RNA from 1 species